AAGCAAACAACAAUCAUUAUAUAUAUACUAGCCUGCUUAAGAGGAGUUUGCUGUGUGUCUUUUGUUCCAUCUUACUUGUCUGUCAUAUAUUUCCCAGCACCUACUCAUCACAGUGAUUCAAAGAAAUUAAGUAUAGCAUUAAAUUUUUGUAUCUACUCUUUCUCUGUCCAGAAUACUUUAUAAAAGAUUACACCAUAAAUACUCAUAGUGUUGAUUUGUAAUUUCACUUUAUCAUGAGAUUAAUGAAUGGUUGGACCCAUAUGUGCUCUUUGCUAAC
rnacentral:lncRNA from 1 species